GUUAAUGUAGCUUAUGCAAAGCAAAGCACUGAAAAUGCUUAGAUGGAUGCAAGCAUCCCAUAAACA
rnacentral:tRNA from 1 species